UAUAAGGAAAGUUCUAGGGGAGAAAUCACUCAGUUACAACUCAAGCCUUAUUCACUUCUUGUUCAAGCCAUUCUCUCACAUACUGACCUCGCCGGUGAAACCACCCUGCCGCGGCGGAAAUCACUUCCGGCGGCGGGGGCCCUCCCAUGAAACAAAUUCAACCACCAAAAUGAACCUUACUUCUCCUCUCUUCUCACCUAUUGUUGUUUUCAUGAAAUUUCUAACCUAAAUCCUAAUUUGAAACCAAGGACACAAAUGAUUCCUAAAAGAAAAUUCCCGAGUUAAUAGCUAACACGGAGGAAUCAAAGCCUAAUUCAUUAGAGAUUUGAUUCCUUAGGUUCAAGACUACAUAGCGGUAGCAGCGAUAACGCAAAUUGAAGAAGAAAAGUGGAAGCUUACCUACCGGAGCAACUCUGGUGGUUCUUCAAGUGGCGGUGCUAAGAACAACGGGUCCAAAAGACUUGUUCUCCUUCAGGUAACCUCUGUGGUUGAUGGUGCGUGAGAUUGAGAGAGUCGAGCUUUGUGUUGUUAUUGAAUAUGGCAGAAGAGUGUGAAGAGAAUAUAUUGAAAUUGUAGAGAAAUUGGGAGAUUUGAUUGAGAGUGAUGUGAGGUUGAUGAGUUAGAGGCUUAAGCUCAACCAAUUGAAGCUUCAAUGGCCGUGUGAUGGGAGCAUUGGUGAGGGUGAGUUCAGAGAGAGAUGAAGAUUGAUGAUUGAGAAGAUUUCAUGCAAAUGAUUGGUUCCCCCCUGAAAUUGGUGGUGGUGAUGAACUUUUAUAGGCGUCAGAGUUAACAGAGUUUGGACUCUGUUAGCUCACUCAUGUGCAAUUCAGUUAGAGUUGGUUCACAGGGUUAAAUUUCUAUUAUAGUUAGUUAGAUUAGUUGUUAGUUAAGUUAGGGUUAGUUACUAGUUGAGUUUCUGUUAGGAGAAAAUUUUGUUAGUUAGUUUUUCAAUUAUUUAGAUAGCUGUUAAAGUUAGUUUGGAGUUAGUUAUUGUUAACUGAAAAUGAAUAUUUAGGAGGUUGUGUAAAAUCAGUUAAUGUUAGUUGAGCUUGGAAAGUGAGAUUAUUUUAAGUUUAAAUUGGAAUUUGUUAUCAUGUUAAGUGCAUUCGGUUGAAUUAGUUGUGGUCUGUUAGAAUCUGGUAAGUGUAAUUCAGUUAGUGUUAGAAGGUUGAUUUCUGUUAUGAGUUGGUUAGUGCAGUUAGUUUGAAAUAUGAUAAAGUUAGUUGAUGGUUUCGAUGCUUGAAAUGGAUAUUUAAUAGUUUAUGUAUUGAAUGCAAUUAUGAAUUGGACUAUUAGUGCUAAUGUAAGUCUAUUUAGAUUUAGGUUGAAUAGCUUAAAAUUCUGUAAAAAAAAUGGUUGUUGAACUUGUGAACUUGCUAUGCCAUGCCAUGAGUUUAAUUUCUCACAGGAUAAUGUAAUCACUAAAACAAGUCGUCCUUUGUACAUCUGAUAUAAAAGCUGGGAUACAAAGUUCACUAUUGCUUCAAGCUAACUAUUGGUGCCUCUUGGAAUGAAGGUUCAAUGUGAUAUGGACAAGGCCAUGAACAAGUAGACCCUUUGAAAGAUCAAGUAUUUAUGGAGGAUUUGUGCAUAAGAAGAGAUGGAUUAUGGGAGAAGACAAUGUGGGAAUUAGGAUUUUAGGUUUAGGGGUUGACUUUGGUCAAUUGGUUAACCAAAAAGUCAAUAGUUGGCCGGAGUCAACUAUAGGCCACAAUUUGUAAUUUUCGUGUAAAGUUUGUAACUUGGAUUGUGAAUGAUGUAAUGAAUGAUUUGAUCGCUUGUAAUAAGAAUGAUCCUCUUUGAAUGA